rnacentral:rRNA from 1 species
CCUACGGGUGGCAGCAGUGGGGAAUAUUGCACAAUGGGGGAAACCCUGAUGCAGCGACGCCGCGUGAGUGAAGAAGUAUUUCGGUAUGUAAAGCUCUAUCAGCAGGGAAGAAAUAAAGUCCUUCGGACUUUGGACGGUACCUGACUAAGAAGCCCCGGCUAACUACGUGCCAGCAGCCGCGGUAAUACGUAGGGGGCAAGCGUUAUCCGGAUUUACUUGGUGGAAAGGGAGCGUAGACGGCAGCGAAAGUCUGGAGUGAAAUCCCAUGGCUUAACCAUGGAACUGCUUUGGAAACUGUGCAGCUGGAGUGCAGGAGAGGGAAGUGGAAUUCCUAGUGUAGCGGUGAAAUGCGUAGAUAUUAGGAGGAACACCAGUGGCGAAGGCGGCUGACUGGACUGUAACUGACGUUGAGGCUCGAAAGCGUGGGGAGCAAACAGGAUUAGAUACCCUAGUAGUC